CUGACGGGAGAGCCGGCCUAAGUACAUAAACGGGGGAGGUCUUGCAGACGAAAUACUAACCCGGAGCACCUCUUGUACUUCACACAGCCCAGGACUUCCAGAACUUCAUUCAGCCAAAUGUUCAUCAUGAGGAAUCAGCAAACAACAAUGUGCAGGGUGAGCCUUUUUGAAAGAAAAUGUGUUGAAAGAGCUGGGAGGAUCCGCUCAACGCUGGAGAGGCAACUCAGCGCUGGGAGCAUCAGCUCCGACGUGUGGGACAAGACCGUCUCUUUCUUCACCAUCAAGAGGGCUCUCAUUCUCCAUGAUGGCUACAGCAAGUGCUCCAGAAAAGCCAUGAGACUGAUCGCAUCAGCUGCUGAGGAUAUGGCACCGCUGUGCUGCCAGGAGUAACUCGACAAGUGCAAGAAACCAGAACCAGACAUGGGACUAAGUUAGAGGACAUCUUCAAGCUUCUAACUUAAGUCAUAACUUGGAACGGGAGCUUUGCCAAAAAACAAAACUAAAAUGAAAAAACUUUUUUCCCACAUUUUUUAUUGAAGUGUUUUAACUUCAAACGUAGCAGAAAUUGUAAAAACCUGACCACCAACACCGUGAUCUACUGGUCUACAACCAUUUCAAGUCUUCUUAAUGUGAUGUAGAAUUGUCAAAUGGAAAGCCAUAUAUUCCUUUGGAUGAAAGGUUCAUGUUUAUGCUUGUGCAUACGUUUUAGUAAAUGAUUUCCUUCAUUGCUAGAAGUUUUUCUAUUUUUUUAUUUUUCUUAGAGACAUUUUCCUGCUGAGAGCUAUAAAUGACAAAGUGCAAUAUAGACUUUCAAGUGCAAUUCUUAAUAAAGUGUAAAAAAAAUUCAAAA